rnacentral:rRNA from 1 species
CCUACGGGGGGCAGCAGUGAGGAAUAUUGGUCAAUGGACGAGAGUCUGAACCAGCCAAGUAGCGUGAAGGAUGACUGCCCUAUGGGUUGUAAACUUCUUUUAUAUGGGAAUAAAAUGUUCCACGUGUGGGAUUUUGUAUGUACCAUAUGAAUAAGGAUCGGCUAACUCCGUGCCAGCAGCCGCGGUAAUACGGAGGAUCCGAGCGUUAUCCGGAUUUAUUGGGUUUAAAGGGAGCGUAGGUGGAUUGUUAAGUCAGUUGUGAAAGUUUGCGGCUCAACCGUAAAAUUGCAGUUGAAACUGGCAGUCUUGAGUACAGUAGAGGUGGGCGGAAUUCGUGGUGUAGCGGUGAAAUGCUUAGAUAACACGAAGAACUCCGAUUGCGAAGGCAGUUCACUGGACUGCAACUGACACUGAGGCUCGAAAGUGUGGGUAUCAAACAGGAUUAGAUACCCUUGUAGUC